rnacentral:rRNA from 1 species
AUUGAACGCUGGCGGCAGGCCUAACACAUGCAAGUCGAGCGAGCGGCGGACGGGUGAGUAAUGUAUGGGGACUGCCCGAUAGAGGGGGAUAACAACUGUAAACGGUAGCUAAUACCGCAUACUAUCGGAGAACCCAUAUGGGAUUAGAUAGUAGGUGAGGUAAUGGCUCACCUGGGCGACGAUCCCUAGCUGGUCUGAGAGGCUGCUCAGCCACAGUGGGCCGUGAACCCGGCCCGGACUCCUACGGAGGCGGAGGUGGGAAAUAUUGCACAAUGGGGGCAGUCCUGAUGCGGCCAUGCCGCGUGUAGGAAGAUGGCCCUAGGGUUGUAAAGUACUUUCAGUCGGGAGGCGUUACCGACAGAAGAAGCACCGGCUAACUCCGUGCCAGCAGCCGCGGUAAUAC